GAUGAACGCUGGCGGCGUGCCUAACACAUGCAAGUCGAGCGAAUAGACGAGGCUCUUCCUCCUCUUACGCUAGCGACGGACGGGUGAGUCACACGCGACUAACCUACCUUUAUGACUAGCCUACCUUCACGAUCUCUGAGCCCACACCGGUAAAUAUAUUGAACCCCCUGGUUCUUUAGAGCCAGUCGCUUCUGCUGUCACUAGUUUCUAUUUCCCCGCCGCUUUAGCCAGUUGGUAAGGUAACAACAUACCAAGGCGACGAUGCGUAACAGACCUGUGAGGAUGAUCGGCCACACUGGAAGUGAGACAGGGUCCAGACUCCUACGGGAGGCAGCAGUGGGGAAUCGUCCGCAAUGUGCGAAAGCCUGACCUAGCGACGCCGCGUGAGUGAGGAAGGUCUUCGGAGUGUAAAACUCUUUGAUUAGGGAAGAACUAAUGUGUAAGUAUACAUGCACGUUUUGACGGUACUGAUACAAAAAGCCCCGGCUAACUACGUG
rnacentral:rRNA from 1 species